GAUCUGGACCCACGCGAUCGCAACGCCUAAACCUUGUCAGAACCGGAAGGUAGCAGCAACACGGGAUGCUUGUGAUAGGCGUGGUAUCCGGAUCACU
rnacentral:SRP_RNA from 1 species